UACGUAGGGUGCGAGCGUUGUCCGGAAUUAUUGGGCGUAAAGGGCUCGUAGGCGGUCUGUCGCGUCGGGAGUGAAAACUCGGGGCUUAACUCCGAGCCUGCUUCUGAUACGGGCAGACUAGAGGUAUGCAGGGGAGAAUGGAAUUCCUGGUGUAGCGGUGAAAUGCGCAGAUAUCAGGAGGAACACCGGUGGCGAAGGCGGUUCUCUGGGCAUGUCCUGACGCUGAGGAGCGAAAGUGUGGGGAGCGAACAGG
rnacentral:rRNA from 1 species